AUGGCAUGGUGUGGACACUUACGGAUGAAGUCUUUGAGCCUCUCCCAAGUUUCAUGGAACAUGUCCCCUUCUAAUUGGAAAAAAAUAGUUAUGGCUUUUCUCAUUUU